rnacentral:rRNA from 1 species
UACGUAGGUGGCGAGCGUUGUCCGGAUUUACUGGGCGUAAAGAGCGCGCAGGCGGUCGUGCAAGUCGCGUGUGAAAGCCCCCGGCUCAACUGGGGAGGGUCAUUCGAUACUGCUCGACUUGAAGGCAGGAGAGGGAAGUGGAAUUCCCGGUGUAGUGGUGAAAUGCGUAGAUAUCGGGAGGAACACCAGUGGCGAAGGCGACUUUCUGGCCUGUUCUUGACGCUGAGGCGCGAAAGCUAGGGGAGCAAACGGG